rnacentral:pre_miRNA from 1 species
GUUGGGGGGGGGGUUUCCCUCAGCCCGGAUUGCGAGAGGGCACAGGCCAGUUCGAGGGACCCCACCGGUGCACG